UUGUCCUUUGCAGAAGAUUACAGAUUUUUACAGGCAUUCCUGUAUGGUUGCAACAUGAUGGAUGUAUUUGAACUGAUCUCUCUCAUUACCAAGGGAGUACAGAAAAAAUGUGGGCCCAACUGUUACAGCCUCAUUGAUCAGGAUCGCCUCUACCAUCGCGUGGCAGACAUGAGAAAAGAAGGCUUGAUUGAUGAAUAUAUCUUAGAAAUACUAACUUCAGAACUUAUCAUAUUUGUGCUUGCUCAGCAGCAAGAAGUUGCAGACUUUUCUAAAUUGGAUGAGGCUGAUCUUCUUAAAUCUUUUGAUAUUAGUAUUGACAUCAAUCAAGAAGUUCAAAAUGAUUCUGAAGUUCUGCAACUGAAAGCUCAUGUGCCAUCUCAAUUCCUGGACUAUAAUAAUGACUAUAUGUGCUAUGGACAAUCUGAUGCAUGUGUGGUUACUUGCAACAGCGACCUUGGUGAAAAAAGACAUAAAAGCUAUGAUAUUGAUGACAGCGCAUUCCAGAUCCAUCAGCCUUGCAAUAUUAAUUGUGAUGAUUUCUAUAAAAUGAAUGUAAAAUAUCUACCGGUAUCUGAAGAAGAAAAACUGAACGGGACUGGUAGACAAUACCCUAUCACCUCAAUAACUUCUAACGCAGCUGCGGUUUUCACCAGAAAUGAUGCGCAUGAAUCUGUGCUAUGUGAUGAGCCUCAAGUUAGAGAAAAUCAUAUUUCUGCUACUGUAACUGAUGCUUCAUGUGAUGAACUAACAAACAUUCCAUUAGAAAUGGUUAUGGCAUCAGUUCCCCCACAAGUGAUAAGCUUACAAAUCAAAGGAGCCAAACCUAAACAAAAAAAUUUGUUUGAUGUUGACAGGAGCCAUCAAACAAAAAAUGUCACUGUAGAAGAAGAUGCAACCAAUUACACAGGAAAAUCAUCUGAAAGUCUUGCUGCUUCUGACACCUAUGGUACAGAAUUGGAUGUAGCAGGCAAACUGGCUGAAAUAGACCAAUUGGUGGCUGCACAUGUGGUCACGCUCAUCAAUCAAUUCCCUGGGUUUGAUCCUGCUUAUUUGACUCACAGAUCUACCACAGCAUUACUCCAGGGUAAACCCUUCAAGGACCUCAUCUAUGAGCUAUCUUUUGAGUACCGGAAACUGAGGGUAGACAAACCUGCUCAAUGCAAGGAAGGUCUUGCUUGGACCAUCAUUGAUUCAUGUGAUGAAAGCAAAGCUGCAUAUAAAACUGUGCAGCAGCUAUCAGCCGCAGCUGCAAUGGAAUCUACUUCAGCUAGAUGGGUUGCGGGAGCUCUGCAAGUUGUGGUUCCUGGUCAGGCAGUCGGAUCACAUGAGACAGGCACGGAGACAAAAGCAAAACUCAAAGAUCAGCUGGACCAAGUGGAAGCAGAUGCACUGCUUGCUCAUCAAAUAGACUUUGAUGAAAAUCUUUUCAGUGCUGGUCAAGAUUUUCCCUUGGCUCAUCAGGUGAAGGAUGAAAUUGCCUCUAGACCACGGGUGUGUGACACACUCAAGUGCUGCUCCUGCCAGGUUGACAAGCCAGUGACUACAAUGCUGGUCUGUGAUGAGGAUUAUGCUGCUCCACACUUCUGCUGCUGUGAUUGUCUGAAGAGGUACGCAGAGCGGCUGAUGGUUGAGGACAAACUUGAGUUUCCAUGCCCACACGCCUCUUGCUCCUCCAAGAUGCCUGAUUCUGCCAUUCAAAAUGUGUUGGGGCUGGCGAUGUUUCAGGAGCUGCUACAGCGCAGGCAGUCCAAAGAUAUAAUGGCUGCUGGGCUCGAGGGUUUGGAGACGUGCCCGUUCUGUAACUACAGCGUCAUUAUAGAAGAGAAGGUGACAGCAAACUCUACCAACAACACUGUCUUCCACUGCCACAAUGACUCUUGUGGCAAGAGGUCCUGCAGGCUGUGCCACAAGGCAGACCACUUCCCGCACAAAUGUCAUCAAGAUGAUCAACGGCAAACAGCACGUCCCGAUGAGGCUAUCAUCAGGAGUAACUCGCGCCCUGAAACCGAGGCUAAGAUGGAUAGCACGAUCACCCUCUUGGCCCCCGCCGUGGAGAACGCCAUGAGGUUCACCAUCACGACGGGCCUGCCUGCGGUGGCAGGUUAUUACGGAGGACCCAGGGUGCAGCAGCUGGUGCAGGUCUGCGUGGUGCCCAUCGCUGCUAACGUCGCCAGAGUUGUGACAAGUUAUGUGGCGAGCAGACUUGCGCCGCCGCAGCAACAGGCAGAUGCUGAGGAAUCUUAGAGACGGAAAAAGCCUAUCACGUCCUGAGAAACGGCCCCAGCUUUCCUGAGGUUGUGUUGAAAUCCUGAGGAAAUAACUUUCCUGCUACGGAAAAACUGAACCUGAAACCUUGCAGUUUAUUGAUAUUUUUGAGUUUUCGGCUGCUAAUAGGCUCAAAUGUAUUAUAAGUUUUAUUUUUUUAUGUAGGGAAUUCUUCAAAUUGACUAUAUAUCAUUCGAACAUUGGGUUGAGUAUGAACAGUCGUUGAAUUGUUUUAAUUAACCACGCCUUCUUACGUCACGUGGCUAUCACACGAGGCGGAUAGUCUUCAGAUGUCACUGUAGAUUAUUGUUUUAUUCUACUUAUACGGCGCGAGAUUGUCCCAUAGUAAUUAUGACGCUAGAAAUUAAUGACAAAUAAUGGCCACAUUACUAUUAUUUCUCGCUAUAUAUUAUGGCUACCUACCUGACUUAUUUUACUUAUCUAGUGUAAAGUUGUUCACAAUUUCUGCAAUUAAUUUUUUUUGUUACUAUUCCAUAACCACUCCAGUGAUAUUCCGCGAUACACCCUCGUCAAGUGCCAGCAACUCAAAGGAACGCAUGUUGUCUUGGGACUUCUUGAAAUGUUCGUGCCUUGAUAAUUGCAUUUAAACCUAUACAUUUCUAUAGAUAAAUUGCUACUCCAUACUUAAGAAGUAUCGUAAGUUUUAUGACUCAGAGAUAUAUAGACUUUUAUUCCCACGUUAUAAUAUCUUCAUGUUUUUGAAGCAUAUCUAGGAAUGAAAAUAUCUGGUGUUUUGAUACUGGUUGAUGCUUGGCAAAAUAGACCUGCUGGACGUUACUCAAACUUAUUUGUUGCAGGUCUUCCUGUUGCAGGUCUUCCUGUUGCAGGGCUUCCUGUUGCAGGUCUUCCUGUUGCAGGUCUUCCUGUUGCAGGUCUUCCUGUUGCAGGGCUUCCUGUUGCAGGGCUUCCUGUUGCAGGUCUUCCUGUUGAGCAUUCAUCUCUCGUACAUGUUCGCGUUGUUGCUACAACAGCAUCAGAGAUGUAGGAGGGAAAUAUAAGAGUUAUAUUGCCAAUAUUCGUUCUUUCGCUUGCGUUUGCAUAGCCUGCGUGUUCCGUGUUAUGUUCUACUCAUUCCAUAGUUUGCAUGAUUCCUGCUCACCAUUGAUCCUUCGUAAUGUCUGCCGCGUUUACACGUCCGAUUUGAUCAUCAAUGUUGUUUAAUAUAUAAUAUUAGAAUCUUACUGGAUAUCUUCUAGUUCAUCAGGUAAACCUUUUGCUUGUGGUAAGGGUCUUCCUCAACAUGUUCAGCUUAUAUAUUUUAUUACUGAUUUACAUACGAAA